rnacentral:rRNA from 1 species
CACGUAGGAGACUAGCGUUAUUCGGAUUUACUGGGCGUAAAGCGCGUGCAGGCGGUUCGGUUAGUUGGAUGUGAAAGCUCCUGGCUUAACUGGGAGAGGUCGUUCAAUACUGCCGGACUUGAGAGUGGUAGAGGGAGUUGGAAUUCCGGGAGUAGUGGUAAAAUGCGUAGAUAUCCGGAAGAACACCAGUGGCGAAAGCGGACUCCUGGACCAUUUCUGACGCUCAGACGCGAAAGCUAGGGGAGCGAACGGG